UGCAGUGGAAGGGGAGCAGCGCGCCCCUGGGGACCGCUCGGCCUCGGGCAACUGUCCAGUCCUGGUGCUGCGAGUGUGUGCUCGGCCCACGCCCCGGCCCCAGCACCCGAGCCUGGUGGGCCAGGGUGCGCCGCAGGCUCAUCCGUAGACCCCACACAGCCGCGAGGCCCCUCCCUGCGCCUGUGCGCUCCCUGACUCCACUUUGCCGCAGUCUCGCCGCGAGGCGGCGCCCGCGCCUCGCUCUCUGCAGGUGCCUCUGCAGUUCCGUGCCGCGGCUGCACACAAGUGCGCGCUGAAACGUCUGCAGACCCACUGGGGAGCGGCGUCCAGGCGCGGGGGUGAGAGCGCUCCCCCUCCCUCCCAGAACCUCUGCGCGGUCAUCGCGGCCAGGACUCAUAGCCCCGUCCUUUCGCCCAGUGGGCCUGUGCUGGAACUGAGGCGUGGUCACGGGCGGGGUGCUGGGUCCCGGCUUCCAGCCCUGCCUCUGCCCGGUGACCGCGUGUACGUCGGAGUACAGGAUACCCUGGGAGGACCUGCUACCCCUGGAUGGAAGGAGCUAGGGCAGCAGAGCCCACACGCCAACCACAUCGGGUGCGGUUGUACAGGCUUUCCUAUGGAUGUGUUUCCAGCUCAUCUGGCGAUGUGGCAUCUGCAGUUUUGUAAAGAGCUGCAAAGCUGCCUCCUAAGGCGACCACACUGAGCAGGAGGUAACCAGAAAAGGGCCGGGAAACAAGGUCAGGGCUGAGUGCCAAGGCCACACAGUGUCCUUUGUCCACGAAGGAACAGCCAGGCGAACAGGACGUGGACACAACAUGAC